rnacentral:RNase_P_RNA from 1 species
UAGACAUAGUAGUGACGAUCGCCGCUCGUGAAAACGAGAGGAGGAAAGUCCGGGCAGCAUCAAGGAGUGACAGUUGCUAACGGCAACCAAGGGCAACCUUAGGGAAUAGUGCCACAGAAACAAAACAGCCGCUUGUCGGCUAAAGGUGAAAAGAGCGGGGUAAGAGCCCGCAGUCGUUCAUGGUGACAUGGAUGAGUGGUAAACCCUGUCUGCUGCAAGGAGUGUGAGCUUUUCGUCCAUUAGGGCCGGUUUCCUUGCCGAGUUUGCACGUUUUAAUCCGCUUGAUCCGCACGAGCAAUUGGCGGACUAGAUAGAUGAUCGUCUCCGGUUUACCGGAACAGAACCCGGCUUAUUCAUGUGUUUAGCUU